UGGUCAUAUAAUCCUCUAAAUCUAAUCUUCUAUCUUCUAAAUAUAAAAUGAGGGUAAGGAGUGAAUACUGUUCAUGAUGAACAGUAAAACUACUGUUCGCUCCUUAUACUACAUUUAAUUCUGCUUCACAAUUCUUCAGCACGCUUUUGAUGGCUUCCUCUCCCUCUACUUUCCUCUUUUUCUCUUUGGCUUUAGGUUGUGCUGCUGAUGAAGCCGAAGACGAAAAAUUUUCGACGUGGGGAGGGAUAAUUGUGAAUUUGAAAGUGUUAAUUCAGGUAGUUUAAAGAAAAGGGUAUGUAGGAAAAGGGAAAGUUUGAUAGGAAUUGGGUGAGGUCUUACAGAUGUGUUCCAGCGGGAAAAUGUCACUGCUACCUUCAACAUCGUAGUUCAAUCAAGAGUCACAGAGAUACGUUAUCUUCAUCUGAGGUGAACCCAUCAGCUCAAUGGGGGAUACUGGACUCGAAGUUUCCAACUACCUCCCUUGCUUCUGUGUGCUGUGAAUAAAGAUGUCAACUUCAUCAGGUUCUUUGUUCUUAAUCUAAUUUGUGAUUAGGAUCUGUUUUAUACUUUGAUUCCGAUGUUUUCUUACAAGUGCGAUAGACUCAUCAGGUUCUUUUUUCCUAAUCUAAUUUGGGAUUUUGAUCUCUUUUCAAUGUAGAUUUUGUUAAUCAGUUGAUGUACAGGUACAAAGUGUUCUCUGAAUUUCAUUCUCCCCUAAAUAUUGUUUUUGAUUAAUGUGAUUAGGAUUUUUGAUUAAUGUCGGUUGAGUUGAGGACUGAAUAUGCUCCAUUUAGUAAAAUUUAAGAUGGAUUUGAGCCGAACAUGAUUGUAUAACGCCUUGAGGUAUGAUUCUUUUGUUUGAUUAAUUGUUGGAUGAUUCGAAUUUGUCUAUUGUUGAUUUUUGGAUUAGUUUAGCUGUGUAAUUUUCAUUAUUUGAUAGGCCGAGAAAUGUUAGACCAGAAGCACCAUUUAAGAUUGAAAUUGUUUCAUCUACCGGCAACAUUCGUAGUUCUUUCUUUUUUUCUUCUUCCUUCUAGCAUUUAUUUAUUUAUUUAUGUCGUUGUGGUGUAUUUUGACAAGUGGUUAUUACAUAUUCUGCAAUCAUAUUGGACCUACUCAUACUAGUUUCUAUUGUUGUUACAGUAAAAGGAUAAGAGGGUUUGACAUGGCACCUCCUACAUCUGCAAUCAUAUUGGACCUACUCAUACUAAUUUCUAUUGCUUUUGUUAUAGGUUUUUUUUAUAUCGAUGUUAUGAAUAAGGUUCUACACAUUUUUUUAUUUCUUCCAAUAUUUGGUGUCCUCUUUUGCCCAUUUUGUUUCUCUUAAAAUGGAGAAAAAUUAUGCUAUGUGGAAUUGAAACCUUUUUUUGGAGUGAGUAGGAUUAGGGUGCUUGGGAAAAUGUGGAACUUUUAUGGUGAACUUUUCUACUUGCUAGUUUCUUCUUGCAAGUUAUUUAAGUAUAUUAAAUAAAACUAAAUAUGAGUUCUUUAAUUCAAGUUCUCUUUUUUUUUUUUACCUUUGUUUUAGAGUUUUUUCCCGGAAGGGUGACUGACUCUAGGGGCAAACACAGUUUUGUCAUAUUUUUGAGUAUUUUUGUGAUUUGUUUGGUAACAUUUGGAUCAUGUUAUGACUUUAGUGCAUGUGCCCCUUCGUCAAGGUAGUGGAAUUGAUGCAUUAUGGCAGCAGGACGUAAUUGGAUGGUAAAAGCGUUUUCAUGAGAAAAUCAUAUUAGGAAUUAGAUGUUCACUUAUUACCACACUAUUACUACUGCUACUACUACUACUAAUAUUGUUGUUGUUGUUGUAGUUGUUGUGACAUUUCCAUUUAUUGUUCUAUGGAUCUAGCUCUGGUAUUGGGAUGAAAUUGUUUCUUUGAGUUUUGAUUUCUGAAUGAUUUGUUUUCACUUUGGAUAAACUGCAUGACUCUCAUUGAAGUCACAAGAAUUGACAACUAUUUUUUUGGCCGUUGCACUGCAGUUUUGUCAUGCAAUUUGAUAGUCACGCUUCUAAAUACAUCUACCUUGAUUUUUACAAUGUGGGUCAUUUAUAUGUUCCGAUUUAAACUAAGGUCAACUUAUAUAGAGGACAAGGACAAUUUUGCUAUUUAUUAUGUUAGAGUGAAGCUACUUGACAUGCGAAUACCUAUUACAAUCCCGAUGAAUUGAUGAAAAUCAUUGUUCUUGAUGUUGACUUUUGCUGCUUUUUACAACAUCACGUUACCAUUGUGAAUAAUAGUGUUAUCCAUGCUGUUAGUUUAAUGGAUUGAUGUAUUAGUGGUGAUAGUCGCUUGAAGUUGAUUUAGAUGGUUAAGAUAAUUUUUUAAGGUUUUUACCUCAUGAAAUUGUUUGUCUUCAAAUUUGUAAGGGCAUUCUGUGUGAAUUUAGAAGCUGUUUCAGUUCUGCCACAGCUAUGAGUUAUGCAAAAUCAAAGGUACAAUGUCUUGGUGAAGAGCUCUUCAAAUUAUUUUGCUGUUUAUAUGUUCUAUAAUCCAUACUCUUCCACAUUUACAGUGCGUUAUGUGUUUGCACUUGGAGUAGCAAGAUUUUUGAGUUGUGUUCUUUAGGUUUGAUACUAGACUCAGAGCAGCCUCUUGGAACUUGUCUGAACUCUUAACUAUGAAAAUUGAGUUGGCCCUACUUGCUUCCUCCCUUUCUUAUCCAUGAGUAGCUAAAAAAAUCAUUUCAAGGGUAGACACAGAACCUUUAAGAAACUAAAUUUAGUGUGAAUCUUUUAGCUCGUGUCGUGUGUGAUAGUUGGAUAUAUAUGUGCAUCGACUCACUGACGUGUUUUGUCUUAAAAUUCUCGUGUAUAGUGAUUUUUGGUUAUUUACAUUUCAUUAAUUUGUUGUUUUUUGUUCUUUUGAAGUUGCCUACAUCUAUGUUAUGUUACGCACGGUUAGUUGCUGCUUAGUUCAAGUUUUCAACACGCUCAACAUACAGAGGAUAUCGUUAACUAAGUUUGCUCUCUAGCAAAUAAUAAACGAAGGAAAGAUGCAAAAUUCGCAGAUAUGAAGAUGCGUCAACAAAAACCCCAUAACAAUGUAUUUUUUUUCUUUCAACUACACAAUGGAUUAAAAUGUUUAAUUAUUUGAUCUUUUAAAGAUUAAUUAUUUUAUUUAAUUUAAAAUUUUAAGUUGAAUAAGAUUUCUUAGGGGAGUGCGUGCGCACCCCACCAACUAGUUUGCUAAAAUAUUCUCGCUACCAAAGUGAUUGCUAUAGGCAUAGACGGACCACUUUGAGACCAUAUUGACUAUUCGUUACUUUGUCUUUUGGUUGUUUUAUUAGACGAUUGACUUAUAGGCUAAUACUUUCAGUUAAUUAAAUCAGCCCCGACAACUCAAGCUAAUUAGGAUUUGCAAAACAUAUCUUUAAUCAAAAGCUUUCGAAAUUGAAGUGGGAAUAUUCCUUAAGGUAGAUUCUCUUUAACCUUAUUUGCUACAAUAAUCCAUAGUGAAAUCAGAAAGAAGUGGAUGGGCCAUCAAAUUGAAUAUUCUUUAUAUGAUAUGGGCUGUUCGAUAAAAGUGGGCCGACUGAUUAACGGAUUUAAUAGACUUGUUUGAUGUAGUUACUUCCUCCGUUCCAAAUUAA